rnacentral:rRNA from 1 species
GGGGGAUAACGUAGAGAAAUUUGCUAAUACCGCAUACGAUCUAAGGAUGAAAGCGGGGGGAUCGCAAGACCUCGCGCAAUGAGCGGCUGAUAUCAGAUUAGCUUGUUGGUGAGGUAAAAGCUCACCCAAGGGCGACGAUGUAGCUGGUUUGAGAGAACGACCCAGCCCACACUGGGACUGAGACACGGCCCCAGACCUACGGGGAGGCAGCCAGUGGGGGAAAUUUUGGACGAAUGGGGCGAAAAGCCCUGAUCAGCGAAUGCCGCGUGCCAGGAAAGAAAGGCCCUUUCGGGGUUGUAAACUGCUUUUGUAGAAACGAAACCCGGUUCUGCCCUUAAUACGGCGGGGCUAAUGACGGUACCGUAAGAAUAGCCCCCGGCUAACUACGUGCCCAGCCAGCCGCGGUAAUACGUAGGGUGCGAGCGUUACGGAAUUACUGGGCGUAAAGCGUGCGCAGGCGGUUAUGUAAGACAGUUGUGAAAUCCCGGCUCAACCUGGGAAUUGCAUCUGUGACUGCAUAGCUAGAGUACGGUAGAGGGGGAUG